UUGAUUCUUUUUUAUUUUUUAAAAAGGUACAAUGACAGUUUUGUUUUUCAAAAUUACUGUGCCACAGGUUCCCUCCUGGGGGGAAAGAAGAAACCCUUUCAUUCCACAACAGCCUGCAAGUCUGUUUAAACUUGUUACCAGCUCAUUUACCCUUUCGGAAGAUUUUGCUAUUUCAUGUGAAUGAUUUUUAUGUUAUGGGGAACAUGAUAAGAAGGUUUGCUACUUGGGAUUGACAUCACUUCUGUUGCUUCUAGCUGAGGCUUUGGGGCGUGUUUUCAGGGCAGCGCUUGAUCUCUUAGUUGCUUUCAAAGAUCAAGUUGCAGGGUCCUUUCCGAUUAGUUGCUGAGGAGGGAAAAUCCAAAUGUUCUUGGGUGAGUCUUGAUGACAUCUCAAAUAGUGUUGGUAAAAAGCGAGGGGGGCACUUAAGCGCAGAGGCCUCAUGGAGCCUAGGCGCAAAGCUCAAAGCGUGCUUCUUUGAAUGAACCUAGCUUUUGAGGCAAGAAGCGCUGGAGCCUUGGGGCUUUGCACUUUGAGCUUAAGCACACUUAAAGCGUGCUUUUACCAACACUGAAUCUCAAAUAUCUUUAUACGAGAAAGUUUACUGGCUGUUCAAUGUUGUGAGAGAUUUGGAACAAGUGAAAGACAAUGGGUACAGGCCCAAGUUGAGAAUGCUAAGCAACAAGCUAUUCUA